rnacentral:snRNA from 1 species
GUGUGUGAGGGCCAUCUGCCUGUGACAUCUGUCACCCCACUCACUGAUCACCAGGUUUGAGUGGCUGAUCUGGCUGGCUAGGCGGCUGUCCCCUUCCUCCCUCACCACUCCAUGGGCCUCCCUGCAUUCAGGCUGGAAGAGGACAACCUUCCCCUACUAGGGAACAAGUUGUGGGGCAAGGGUAUGAGAGUAGGGGCAUUUGCCUGCUAGAGCCUCCAAGCAGGCUCUCAGAACGUAUUUUAAUAUGAAUCUGAGGACAGAUUCCAAGAAAUGUUAAUAGAAGUUACAGGGUUGUUUUUUUCUGUACACUU